GACAGAGGGUGCAAACGUUGUUCGGAAUUACUGGGCGUAAGGCGCGUGUAGGCGGCUAAGUAAGUCGGGCGUGAAAUCCCACGGCUCAACCGUGGAAGUGCACUCGAAACUGCGUAGCUAGAGUCCUGGAGAGGAAGGUGGAAUGCUUGGUGUAGAGGUGAAAUUCGUAGAUAUCAAGCGGAACACCGGUGGCGAAGGCGGCCUUCUGGACAGUGACUGACGCUGAGACGCGAAAGCGUGGGGAGCAAACAGG
rnacentral:rRNA from 1 species